CAAUAGCGUAUAUUAAAGUUGUUGCAGUUAAAAAGCUCGUAGUUGGAUUUCUGGGAGGGUGCCGAUGUCCGCUUAACGUGUGUGCAGCGGCGCCCUCUCAUCCUUCUGUUAGCGUCUCUUGGCAUUCAUUUGCUGGUGGCGGGCUCAGAUAUUUUACCUUGAGAAAAUUAGAGUGUUUCAGGCAGGCUAGGCCGGAAUACAUUAGCAUGGAAUAAUGGAAUAGGACUACGGUCUCUUUGUUGGUUUGAGGGACUGCAGUAAUGAUUAAUAGGGAUAGUUGGGGGCAUUAGUACUUAACUGUCAGAGGUGGAAUUCUCAGAUUUGUUAAAGACUGACUUAUGCGAAAGCAUUUGCCAAGGAUGUUUUCAUUAAUCAAGAACGAAAGUUAGGGGAUCAAAGACGAUCAGAUACCAU
rnacentral:rRNA from 1 species